rnacentral:sRNA from 1 species
GAGAAAUUUCUGUGAAUCUGCAUUGAGAAUUAGAUUUGAUAUAAUAUUGCUUGGUUUGACUUGAGUACUAGCUCAUAAAACUUCAACCUAAGGCAAAUUUUCUAAGUUUAUGAUAGUUAUGUGUGUGUAUUGAUGCACAAAAAUGCAUUGAUGUGCAUUCUUCUAGGAGCUUAUUCAAGUCUUACUUAUAACAUGUUACAGAGUGGAUGGUUCAGAUAAAGAAUCAAAGAUCUCAGAUGAUGAUUAUGGAGGGACGUUACUGCUUGUGACGAAUUCUCCACUUAGAUUUGAUCGAUAACUCUAACCACAAAAUAAUAGUGCUGAAUUGAGAUAGAAAUUUAAUGAAGCUUAAGAUCAAUAAUGGUGACGACGAGAGGCUGCAUCUAAGUCGACGAAGAAGACAAUAUAUAUUUGAGUUCAAGUUGAUUGUGGACCGCGUUAAGCUUAGCCUUGAUCCCAACAAUCUUACUCUCCUUCAUGUUUCUCGUUUGUUCCUUGUUCUGUGAUUAGACAAACACCUGAAACACAUAAGAAAAAGAAAAGAGAAAGACUAAGUAAAUAAAAAGAAAAAGAAAAAUAAAACCUUAGACAAAAUUCUAAUCCUAAUCUAAUGGUGAAUCGUAGAGAACUUUGGCAACGGCGCCAAAUUUGAUAUAGGUCAAAUUGUCUUAAGACCACUCUCUCAAAUAAGAGAUCGAUUGUAGUACUUUAGGGUCAAAUUCCACAAAGCUCUCGGAUCACACAAUAGACGAAGGUUUUGAAUUAAUCUAAGUAAGAUUGUAAUAAAAACAAAAAGAAACAAAAGGAAGCAAUAGCAGAUUGUGAGGUUGUAAAACAAGAAAGUAAAAACGUUAGGCUUAGGGUAUUUUCAGGAAAGUAUUGGUUAGUAGAUCUAAUAAUAGCUAGAUUGUUAUCGAACCAUUUUUAAACUCAAACUCUAAUUAUGGAAUAACCGGUGGCGUUCCGCGAAAUUCCCUAUAUCUAUAGCUAAGAAUAACCGGAGAAGCCGAGAGAUUAUUAACCUAAAUAUGCAUUCUUAACGAGUUCGAUUGUUCACCUUAGUAGAUAGGCUGAUUCUUAUUACACACCUAUAGACUAGGCUCAUCAAAUAAUAGAUCCAACUACAGAUACCUAUGACGGGCAUAUCUAUUGUCUGCAUUCAAGUUCUAGGUGAUCAAUUUAGAUCUAGCAUUAAGAACAAUUAAACAUGAAGAAUUCUACAGAUAACCUAGCAGGGGGGACUAUCUAUUAAACCAUAUGAAUCCCUAAUGAGAAACCCUAAACCUAACAAGUGGAUUACUCAGACAUAAUCAAAGAAACACAAAUCAUAGUCUAAAUAAGAAAUCAAUAAUAGCAACAGAAAGAGUAAAGAAGAUCUUCUCCACAGGGAGACUCCAUAGGGUUUUGCUCCCAAAGUACAAAAGAGAUGAGGAGAAUAGCCUCUCCAAGCUUAGGUCUAAACAAUGACCCUAAAAAC